CAGCACCUCAAGUGGUCAGGAGGAUUAUUGGGCCUAAAGCAUCCGUAGCCGGCUCUGUAAGUUUUCGGUUAAAUCUAUGUGCUCAACGCAUAGGCUGCCGAAAAUACUGCAUAGCUAGGGAGUGGGAGAGGUAGACGGUACUCGGUAGGAAGGGGUAAAAUCCUUUGAUCUAUCGAUGACCACCUGUGGCGAAGGCGGUC
rnacentral:rRNA from 1 species